rnacentral:rRNA from 1 species
AUGAACGCUGGCGGCGUGCCUAAUCCAUGCCAGUCGAGCGAACAGACGAGGAGCUUGCUCCUCUGACGUUAGCGGCGGACGGGUGAGUAACACGUGGAUAACCUACCUAUAAGACUGGGAUAACUUCGGGAAACCGGAGCUAAUACCGGAUAAUAUAUUGAACCGCAUGGUUCAAUAGUGAAAGACGGUUUUGCUGUCACUUAUAGAUGGAUCCGCGCCGCAUUAGCUAGUUGGUAAGGUAACGGCUUACCAAGGCGACGAUGCGUAGCCGACCUGAGAGGGUGAUCGGCCACACUGGAACUGAGACACGGUCCAGACUCCUACGGGAAGCAGCAGUAGGGAAUCUUCCGCAAUGGGCGAAAGCCUGACGGAGCAACGCCGCGUGAGUGAUGAAGGUCUUCGGAUCGUAAAACUCUGUUAUUAGGGAAGAACAAAUGUGUAAGUAACUAUGCACGUCUUGACGGUACCUAAUCAGAAAGCCACGGCUAACUACGUG